rnacentral:rRNA from 1 species
AACGUAGGUGGCGAGCGUUAUCCGGAUUCAUUGGGCGUAAAGAGCGUGUAGGCGGCCAGGUAGGUCGGUUGUGAAAACUGGAGGCUCAACCUUCAGACGUCGACCGAAACCAUCUGGCUAGAGUCCGGGAGAGGAGAGUGGAAUUCCUGGUGUAGCGGUGAAAUGCGCAGAUAUCAGGAAGAACACCCGUGGCGAAAGCGGCUCUCUGGAACGGUACUGACGCUGAGACGCGAAAGCGUGGGGAGCGAACAGG